rnacentral:tRNA from 1 species
UGGGGAUUGGUGUAACGGUAGCACAGCAGACUCUGGAUCUGCUUGUCCAGGUUCGAAUCCUGGAUCCCCAG